rnacentral:sRNA from 1 species
GGUUCUACCUACUGAUGCGACUGGAAACUUUAUCUAUCCUGUUUUGGGGCCGGAUGGACAAGCCCUGCCAACAGACGAAUCUGGAAAGACAGUCUAUCCAGUUCGUAGACCAGAUGGAAAUCCACUUCCAACGGAUGCUUCGGGUGCUGUUAUCGGACCAGGCGGCGAGCCAAUUCCCACUGAUUCGAGUGGCAAGCCACUCUCUGCAGACGGUUCUCCUCUGCCCACUGACGCUUCUGGAAAUUACGUACUUGUACCAUCUGACGAAGUAACUGCUAAGGAACUUUCAACUGACGAAUCCGGCACUAUCGUUUAUCCAGUUACAAGAGCAGAUGGAACUCCACUCGCAACUGAUUCCACUGGAUCAUUUGUUACAGAUGAGGGCCAGACUAUUGAGAAAGAUGACGAAGGAAAACCACUUGGGCCAGAUGGACAAGUACUUCCAACUUAUGCUUCCGGAAACUACAUUUAUCCAGUGAUCGGCCCAGAUGGGCAAGCCCUUCCAACUGAUGAGUCUGGAAAGACUGUUUACCCUGUUCGCGGUCCAGAUGGCACCCCACUUCCAACUGAUGUUUCUGGAGCUGUUAUUGGGCCUGAUGGAGAAGUCAUUCCAACUGACUCUAACGGAAUCCCACUAUCACAAGAUGGAACCCCACUUCCAACUGAUAAUCAAGGAAAUUAUAUUCUAGUUCCGACUUCUGAGACCGCAACUAAAGCUCUUCCAACAGAUGAAUCAGGAAAUGUUAUCUACCCAAUCACUAAAGCCGAUGGAACUCCACUCGCAACUGAUUCUACUGGAACAUUUGUUACUGAUGAUGGUCAGAUUAUUGAAAAAGAUGACGAAGGAAAACCACUUGGACCAGAUGGACAAGUACUUCCAACUGAUGAUUCUGGGAACUACAUUUAUCCGGUCGUUGGUCCAGAUGGACAAACUGAUGAAUCUGGAAAAACUGUGUAUCCAGUACGUGGAUCCCAUCCUACAGAUGACACUGGAAAUGUCAUUUAUCCAAUCACUAAACCAGACGGAACCCUAUUGGCCACCGAUUCAACGGGUUCCUUUGUGACUGAGGAUGGACAAAUUAUUGAAAAAGAUGAUGAAGGAAAACCACUUGGACCAGAUGGACAGGUGAGUUUAAGAAAUCUUACAAUAUAGUUGAAAGGAAUCAAAAAUCUUUCGGGUACAAAAAUUAUUAUAAAAAUUAUAUAUAACUAAAAUGCCAUUUUGAUGUAUCGAUUAGUUAUGAUCAUUCGUAUUUCAUUUUAACUCAUCGAACAUAUGUUUUUUUUAAAGAACAAGCUUAACCAUUACAUAAAAACAAAAAAAAACAUAGUAGAUCUGAUUUCUAGAUCAAACAUGAAUUUUUUAGGUGCUCCCAACUGAUGAAUCUGGAAACUAUGUGUACCCAGAAGUAAAAUCAGAUGAACAACUGCUUCCAACUGAUCAUACUGGAAAAACUGUGUAUCCAGUUCAUGGUCCAGAUGGAACUCCACUUCCAACAGAUGAUUCUGGUGCAAUUAUUGGCCCCGACGGAGAAGUCAUUCCUACUGAUGAAAAUGGAAUUCCUUUAUCAAAGGAUGGAUCACAACUUCCUACGGAUAACAAUGGAAAUUACGUACUUGUUCCAUCAGAUGAAGGUGCCACGAAGACCCACCCCACUGAUGAGACUAGUGAUGCCGUUCAUCCAAUCACUAAACCAGAUGGAACUCCACUUGCUACUGACUCCACCGGAAACUUUGUUACAGAAAAUGGGGACGUCAUUACUAAGGAUGAAGAAGGAAAACCUCUUGGACCAAAUGGACAGGUUUGUGAAAGACUCGUGUUUUUUCCAUUUGAUUAUUUUUUGUUCACAAAGCCAGAUAAGUGGAUUUAGUAAACUGUUUUUUUUUCAGAUCUUGCCAACUGACGCUUCUGGGAAUUACAUUUACCCAGUUAUUGGACCAGAUGGACAAGCCCUGCCAACUGAUGAAUCUGGAAAGACUGUCUACCCAGUACGCGGACCAGAUGGAACUCCACUUCCAACUGAUGCUUCUGGAGCUGUUAUCAGUCCUGAUGGAGAAGUGAUUCCCACUGACGCAAACGGAAUUCCUCUAGAUAAAGAUGGAUCUCCACUUCCAACCGAUGCUUCUGGAAAUUAUAUUCUAGUGCCUUCUGAACAGGACAUAACAAAAACUCUCCCAACCGAUGACUCUGGAAACGUGAUCUAUCCAAUCACCAAACCAGAUGGUACUUCUCUGGCAACUGACUCAACUGGGUCCUUCGUAACUGAAGGUGGAGAAAUUGUUGAGAGAGACGAAGAUGGUAAACCACUUGGACCAGAUGGACAGGUGCUUCCAACAGACGCAUCUGGCAACUACAUCUAUCCGGUUGUUGGACCUGAUGGACAAGUACUUCCAACAGAUGAUACUGGUAAAACUGUCUACCCAGUCUAUGGGCCAGAUGGAAUUCCACUUUCAACGGAUGCCUCUGGCGCUGUUAUUGGACCUGAUGGAGAGCCGAUUCCAACUGAUGCUAGCGGAAGACCGCUUGACAAAGAUGGUUCUUUUCUUUCAACCGACGCUUCCGGAAACUAUAUCCUUGUUCCUUCCGAUGCACCAACCAAUGAAGCGGGCCCUGUAGUCGUUCAACACCAAAUCACGAGACCAGAUGGAACUCCUCUUGCAACUGAUUCUUCUGGGCACUUUGUCACAGAGGAUGGAGUGAUUAUCGAAAAUGAUAAAGAGGGAAGGCCGAUUGGCGCUGAUGGUCAGGUACUUCCAACUGAUGCAUCAAACAACUACAUUUUCACUGAUGUUCCAACUCAAGGUUAUGCAGUAUUUAUCCCAACCGACGUUGUCCCAAUCGAACUUGAAGCACCAAACUGUGAUCAGGUUGAUGGCCGUGUUGACACAUUACUCUUUGUUGUCGAAAGUUCACAUACAAGUGCACCAUAUCUGGAUACUCUCAAAAAGCUCAUCGAGAAUCUCCUACUUACUACUCCAAGAGAUUUCCUUCCAAAGAUAGGAACAUUAAUUUACAGCGCUACCACUGAAAUCACUAUUGAUAUUGGCUCCUAUGGGGAUUUCAAAGAACUAUUUGACUCAACAAAUGAAAUCAGAGAAAUUGGAGGAAUUCCAGAUGUCACUAAUGCCUUGAGAACAGCAAAAAUGAUUCUGGAAGAAACUUCGAGAGGGGAUACGCUGGUUUUGCAUUUAUUGGCCUCGCCCAUGAGGUAAAAGUUAAUUAUUUGAGGCUAUCUUCAAAAAAUAAGUUUUCAGAACUAGCAGCAAGGUUUAUACUGAAAGAAUCCGAGCUCUACCAAAUACUCGUCUUAUUCAUCUUAACGAGAAACAGUGGGCUGAAGAUCCCAAUGCCGUUGAAUUAUUGAGAAGCCAUCUAUGUAUUCCGAGUGAAGGUUUGUUGCAUAUUUGUAUAUGACAGUGAGAAAAAAACAUAUAAGUGUUUUCAGUUCCGUUACCUUCAAUGAUGCCAACUGAUGCCAGUGGAAACCUUCUUUCAAUUCCAACCGACGAAGUAGUUACAGAUGGGACUCCAACUGAUGAAUCUGGAUUUGUGAUUUACCCUAUUACCAAACCAGAUGGAACACCUCUUGCAACUGAUUCUACUGGAUCAUUCGUUACUGAAGAUGGACAAAUAAUUGAAAAGAAUGAAGAUGGAAAACCACUUGGUCCCGACGGACAAGUAUUACCAACGGACAAUUCUGGAAACUAUAUUUAUCCAAUUGUCGGACCAGACGGCCAAGCUCUUCCUACAGACGCUUCUGGAAAACCAAUUUAUCCAGUUCGAGGACCAGACGGAACUCCACUCCCAACUGACGCUUCGGGAGCUGUCAUCGGUCCUGAUGGAGAACCAAUUCCAACUGAUGCAAGUGGUAAACCACUUGCACAAGAUGGAUCUCCACUCCCUGUUGAUAACGAAGGAAAUUACAUUAUUCUUCCAACUCAACAAGUUGAUACAAAAGAAUAUCCAACUGAUGAAACUGGAAACGUUAUUGUUCCAAUCACUAAACCUGACGGAACACUUCUGCCAACUGACUCCACUGGAAGUUUUGUUACUGAAAAUGGAGAUAGAAUUGAGUUCAAUGAGGAAGGAAAACCACUAGGCCCAGAUGGUGAAGUUCUGGCGACUGAUGCUUCAGGAAACUAUGUUUAUCCAGGAUCUGUGGUUGAACCAACAGCCGAACCACAAGAAGUCACUCAUGGACCAGAUGGACAAGUAAGUUUAGAAGUUCAUAAAUUUUAUAUAUUGAGUAAUCAACUUAGUUAAAAUUUGAAAUUUAGGUUCUACCAACUGAUGCAAGUGGGAAGCCAAUUUAUCCGGUUCGUGGACCUGAUGGAAUUCCACUUCCAACUGAUGCUUCUGGAGCUGCUAUUGGGCCUGAUGGAGAAACUAUUGCUACCGACGAAAACGGAAUCCCACUCUCCAAAGAUGGAUCACCACUUCCCACUGAUAACACUGGAAACUACGUGUUAGUUCCUUCUGAUGAAGGCGCAACCGAAGAAAAACCAACUCAAGGCUCAGAAAGCAUUGUUCACCCAAUAACUAAACCAGAUGGAACUCCUCUCGCAACUGAUUCCACCGGCUCGUUUGUUACUGAUGAUGACCAAGUUAUUGCUAAAGACGAAGACGGUAAACCGAUCGGACCUGAUGGACAGGUUCUUCCAACUGAUUCUUCUGGUAACUAUAUUUAUCCAGUGAUUGGACCAGACGGACAAGCCUUGCCAACUGACGAAUCUGGAAAGACAGUCUAUCCAGUUCGUGGACCUGAUGGAACUCCACUUUCGACUGAUGCUUCUGGAGCUGUCAUCGGAUCUGAUGGGAAACCAAUUCCAACUGAUGAAACCGGAUUACCAUUGAAUAAGGAUGGUUCACCAUUACCUACAGAUAACGAUGGAAACUAUAUUCUCAUCCCAGCCGAUGAAUCAGUCGUCAAAGCUUUGCCAACCGACGAGGCCAAAGAAGUGUAUCCAAUUGUUCAGCCGGACGGUACUCCAUUGGCAACUGAUUCAAGCGGAAACUUCGUUACUAGCUCUGGUGACAUCAUUGAUAUAGAUGAUGAGGGAAAACCACUUGGACCAGACGGGCAGGCUUUACCAACUGAUGAUUCUGGUAACUACAUCUAUCCAGUAAUCGGUCCAGAUGGACAAGCUCUUCCGACAGACGAAUCUGGAAAGACUGUCUACCCAAUUCGAGGACCAGAUGGAACUCCGCUUCCAACUGAUGCUUCAGGAGCUGUUAUUGGACCAGAUGGAGAACCAAUUCCAACUGAUGCCAGUGGUAAGCCGCUGUCACAAGAUGGAUCGCCACUUCCAACUGAUGCUUCUGGAAACUAUAUUCUUGUUCCAUCAGACGGAGAAGUAACAAAGACUUUACCUACGGAUGAUGUUGGAAAUGUGAUUUAUCCUAUUACCAAACCUGAUGGAACACCUCUAGCCACUGACUCCACAGGAUCAUUUGUGACAGAUGACGGACAGAUUAUUGAAAAGGACGACGAAGGAAAACCGCUUGGACCAGAUGGACAG